rnacentral:rRNA from 1 species
GCGGGAUAGUAAGUCGAUGGUGAAAGCCUGCAGCUUAACUGUAGAAUUGCCAUUGAUACUGCUAUUCUUGAGUGCAGUUGAAGUAAGCGGAAUGUGUAAUGUAGCGGUGAAAUGCAUAGAUAUUACACAGAACACCAAUUGUGAAGGCAGCUUACUAAGCUGAAACUGACGCUGAGGCACGAAAGCGUGGGGAGCGAACAGGAUUAGAUACCCUGGUAGACCACGCUGUAAACUAUGAUCACUCGCUGUUGGCGAUACACUGUCAGCGGCUAAGCGAAAGCAUUAAGUGAUCCACCUGGGGAGUACGUCCGCAAGGAUGAAACUCAAAGGAAUUGACGGGGGCCCGCACAAGCGGAGGAACAUGUGGUUUAAUUCGAUGAUACGCGAGGAACCUUACCUGGGCUUAAAUGCAGAACGACCGGUCGGGAAACUGACCUUCCUUCGGGCGAACUGCAAGGUGCUGCAUGGUUGUCGUCAGCUCGUGCCGUGAGGUGUCGGGUUAAGUCCCAUAACGAGCGCAACCCCUAUUGUUAGUUACCAGCGAGUAAUGUCGGGGACUCUAACGAAACUGCCGGUGUAAACCGUGAGGAAGGUGGGGAUGACGUCAAAUCAGCACGGCCCUUAUGUCCAGGGCUACACACGUGUUACAAUGGCCAGUACAAAGGGCAGCUACCACGCGAGUGGAUGCUAAUCUCUAAAGCUGGUCUCAGUUCGGAUUGAAGUCUGCAACUCGACUUCAUGAAGGUGGAUUCGCUAG